AUUGAACGCUGGCGGCAUGCCUUACACAUGCAAGUCGAACGGUAACAGGUCUUCGGAUGCUGACGAGUGGCGAACGGGUGAGUAAUACAUCGGAACGUGCCCGAUCGUGGGGGAUAACGAAGCGAAAGCUUUGCUAAUACCGCAUAAGAUCCACGGAUGAAAGCAGGGGACCGCAAGGCCUUGCGCGAACGGAGCGGCCGAUGGCAGAUUAGGUAGUUGGUGGGAUAAAAGCUUACCAAGCCGACGAUCUGUAGCUGGUCUGAGAGGACGACCAGCCACACUGGGACUGGGACACGGCCCAGACUCCUACGGGAGGCAGCAGUGGGGAAUUUUGGACAAUGGGCGCAAGCCUGAUCCAGCCAUGCCGCGUGCAGGAUGAAGGCCUUCGGGUUGUAAACUGCUUUUGUACGGAACGAAAAGACUCCUUCUAAUAAAGGGGGUCCAUGACGGUACCGUAAGAAUAAGCACCGGCUAACUACGUGCCAGCCGCCGCCGUAAGAC
rnacentral:rRNA from 1 species